GCACUUUGGCAGUACAUAUACUAAAAUUGGAAUGAUACAGAGAAGAUUAGCAUGGCCAUUGCACGAGGAUGACAUGCAAAUUCAUGAAAUAUUCCGUAUUUUU